rnacentral:rRNA from 1 species
UUCCAGACUCCUACGGGAGGCAGCAGUGGGGGAUAUUGCACAAUGGGGGAAACCCUGAUGCAGCGACGCCGCGUGUGGGAAGACGGUCCUCUGGAUUGUAAACCACUGUCCCCAGGGACGAAGAUGACGGUACCUGGGGAGGAAGCUCCGGCUAACUACGUGCCAGCAGCCGCGGUAAUACGUAUGGUGCAAGCGUUAUCCGGAUUUACUGGGUGUAAAGGGAGCGCAGGCGGCGCGUUAAGCCUGGUGUGAAAGCCCGCGGCCCAACCGCGGGACUGCAUUGGGAACUGGCGCGCUGGAGUGCCGGAGGGGUAGGCGGAAUUCCUAGUGUAGCGGUGAAAUGCGUAGAUAUUAGGAGGAACACCAGUGGCGAAGGCGGCCUACUGGACGGUGACUGACGCUGAGGCUCGAAAGCGUGGGGAGCAAACAGGAUUAGAUACCCCAGUA